rnacentral:rRNA from 1 species
UACGUAGGCAGCGAGCGUUGUUCGGAGUUACUGGGCGUAAAGGGUGUGUAGGCGGUUGUUUAAGUUUGGUGUGAAAUCUCCCGGCUCAACUGGGAGGGUGCGCCGAAUACUGAAUGACUUGGAGUGCGGGAGAGGUGAGUGGAAUUCCUGGUGUAGCGGUGAAAUGCGUAGAUAUCAGGAGGAACACCGGUGGCGAAGGCGGCAUCCUGGACCAACACUGACACUGAUCAGCGAAAGCCAGGGGAGCAAACGGG